UACGAAGGGGGCUAGCGUUGCUCGGAAUCACUGGGCGUAAAGGGUGCGUAGGCGGGUCUUUAAGUCAGAGGUGAAAGCCUGGAGCUCAACUCCAGAACUGCCUUUGAUACUGAGGAUCUCGAGUUCGGGAGAGGUGAGUGGAACUGCGAGUGUAGAGGUGAAAUUCGUAGAUAUUCGCAAGAACACCAGUGGCGAAGGCGGCUCACUGGCCCGAUACUGACGCUGAGGC
rnacentral:rRNA from 1 species